rnacentral:rRNA from 1 species
CGCGAAUGGCUCAUUACAACAGCUAUAAUUUACUUGAAUUUGACAACCCUACUUGGAUACCGGUGGUAAUUCUAGCGCUAAUACAUGCACCAAAGCUCCGACCGCGAGGGAAGAGCGCAUUUAUUAGAACAAAACCACACGGCUUCGGCCGUCCAAUGUUGACUCAGAAUAACUAAGCUGAUCGCAUGGUCUUGCACCGGCGACGUUUCUUUCAAGUAUCUGCCUUAUCAACUUUCGAUGGUAGUGUAUCUGACUACCAUGGUGAUGACGGGUAACGGAGGAUAAGGGUUCGACUCCGGAGAAGGGGCCUGAGAAAUGGCCACUACGUCUAAGGAUGGCAGCAGGCGCGCAAAUUACCCACUCUCAGUACGAGGAGGUAGUGACGAGAAAUAACAAGACCGUUCUCACAAGAGGCCGGUCAUUGGAAUGGGUACAAUUUAAACCCUUUAACGAGUAUCUAUGAGAGGGCAAGUCUGGUGCCAGCAGCCGCGGUAAUUCCAGCU